rnacentral:rRNA from 1 species
GACGAACGCUGGCGGCGUGCCUAAUACAUGCAAGUAGAACGCUGAAGGAGGAGCUUGCUUCUCUGGAUGAGUUGCGAACGGGUGAGUAACGCGUAGGUAAACUGCCUGGUAGCGGGGGAUAACUAUUGGAAACGAUAGCUAAUACCGCAUAAGAGUAGAUGUUGCAUGACAUUUGCUUAAAAGGUGCAAUUGCAUCACUACCAGAUGGACCUGCGUUGUAUUAGCUAGUUGGUGGGGUAACGGCUUACCAAGGCGACGAUACAUAGCCGACCUGAGAGGGUGAUCGGCCACACUGGGACUGAGACACGGCCCAGACUCCUACGGGAGGCAGCAGUAGGGAAUCUUCGGCAAUGGACGGAAGUCUGACCGAGCAACGCCGCGUGAGUGAAGAAGGUUUUCGGAUCGUAAAGCUCUGUUGUAAGAGAAGAACGAGUGUGAGAGUGGAAAGUUCACACUGUGACGGUAUCUUACCAGAAAGGGACGGCUAACUACGUG